GGUGCUGGUAAUAUAAUUAAAAUAUCAUCAAAAAGUUGAUUUAUUUCAGUAAUUCCAUUCAAAAAGUGAAACUUGUAUAUUAUAUUCAUUCAUUACACACAGACUGAUAUAUUUCAAAUGUUUAUUUCUUUUAAUUUUGAUUAUUAUAACUGACAACUAAGGAAAAUCCCAAAUUCAGUAUCUCAGAAAAUUAGAAUAUUACUUAAAACCAAUACAAAGAAAGGAUUUUUAGAAAUCUUGGCCAAAUGAAAAGUAUGAACAUGAAAAUUAUGAGCAUGUAAAGCACUCAGUACUUAGUUGGGGCUCCUUUUGCCUGCAUUUUUGCAGCAAUGCGGCGUGGCAUGGAGUCGGUCUGUCUGUGGCAAUGCUCAGUUGUUAUGAGAGCCCAGGUUGCUCUGUAGUGAUGGGUCGUUCGCGAAAGCCGACUCUAAGAGCCGGCUCUUGUAGGUGAACGACGGGAGCUGGCUCGCAUAUCUGAAGAGCCGACUCCAUUUAAAAAAAAAUAUAUAUAUUGCCUAUAGAAAUUAAAUCAUUAUGUAAUAAUGAAAUAAUGGAUGCAUUUUAUUUUAUUUAAAAUAAUUGACUAAUUCAAAGAACAAAAAAUAUAUAUUUCAACUGUCUGAUCAGCCUCACAUUCUGUUCCUGUCAAUCAUACACGAGGUUUCAACCAAUUAUACGGCAUGAGGGAGGGGCCGAGUCAUCACACACACACACACACACACACACACACACACCACACACAGUGUCAAACUCAGAGGAGAGGAGAGGAAAAACACAACAGCUUUUGAAAACAAAACAAAAGCAGGAAAAUGAGUCGGAAGCACAGCCGAAUUUGGAAUCAUUGUAAUGAUCAUCAGCCCCUCGAAAGUAAGGCAGCUUGCAUUUCUGAAUGCAUAUUUCUCAUAAAAUAAAAAUAUGAUCAGCAUUGUGUGUGUAUGUGUUCAUGCUAGUUAUACAAAACUGAGAUAGUCUAUGCUGACUAUAUAACACGCCAAAAAAGAGGGACCAGUUUAAUCCUUUUUUAAUCCAGUUUUAAUCCCUGAUAGUGGCCUUCAGCUCUUCUGCAUUCAACCAGGGGCGGGUCUACGUGGUGGCGGUGCCCCCCCUGAAAUUCGAUUGGCCACCCCAGGUGCCCCCCCUAUAAGAUGUCUUGUGAUUGGUUCAUUCUAUGGCCAAUCAUUUUAUAGAAUCUACUGAAGUCAGCGAUUCAAAGAAGUGCAGCGUCGACAGAAGGUGCGUUCCGUUCGACCGUAAGUGUACUGCGAAGUGGACUUCACAGGGUAUUCCGCCAUCUUAAGUGAGAUUCCAAUCGGAAGGGAGCGAUGUUCAGUUCGAAGGGCACUACGCACGGCACAGGGAAUAAGGGAACAUCGAUACAUCACUUCACAGGAAGUGGAGAGCGAUUAUCCCCCAACUGUCAUUGCGCGAAGCACGUCAUUACCAGUCAGAACGGCCGUCUUCGCUGACUUCAUUCAUAUUCAUUACGGAUUGUAAAAAGGGCGUACCAAAUGAGCAGUUAUUGCCAGUGAAGUCCACUUCAACUGAUAUACCGUGCUCAGGGAGUAGGGAGCAGUGAACACUGCGUAGGGACCCUGUCGAAUGGAACGCACCUAGAGACACUAAUGAUGGGAAGUUUGGAUCAUUAUACUGACCCUGACUUUUGAGUCACGUUCAGCAAAAUGAACGAAUCUUUUUUUGAGUAAUUUCGUUCAUUUUAGCAAAAUGUAAUUAAAAUGUUACGUGUUUCUUCCCCAACACAUCUAGUAACGUUACUUAAGCAAACGUUGAUCACACUACAAACAAUACAAAACUAAAAUGCUAUAAAGAUACAGAAAAGAUUAAUUAAUUAUUUACCUGGGUCUUCAGUCUGUGAUUAACUCACCUCUUGUCUGACAAGUCUUCAGCUUCAAAUCAUUCCUUAAUCACAUGACAGAUCCAUGCGCUAUUUCUGACAUUUCUGACAUUUGUCACUGUUUUUGUUACUGUUUCUUCUGGAUCUGUGGUGUUAUUAUUUUAUGAAUAAAUAAAACCUUGUUAUAAAUAAAAUAUUGAUUAAUUUGUC